ensembl:snoRNA
UGAAUCUUUUCCACUCCUUGCUGUUUUGUGCAGGUGUGAGGACAGAUAUGAGCAGAAGAAAUCCAGACAGGUUGUUUUCCAUUUGUCUUGGGACCUGUCUCUGUAAUUCUGCCACACUA